rnacentral:lncRNA from 1 species
CAGCAUGCCCUUUCCAAGAACCUUUCUUGAAUUCUAUCUUUUUUUUAUCAAGAAAACUUUUUGAUUUCUUUUCUCCCUUUUCAAGAAUCUUUCUUGAAGGAAAUCAGCAUGCCCCUUUCUUUCUCUUCCCUUGGCCAAGUACCCUUCUUGGCAUGAAGGGAAUACAUCGUCCAAUUCUUGGGCGUGUGAGACUUUGACGCAUGAGGAGGGAGAGGAGGCUUUUGGAUGUUAAGACCCUCUUCACGUGUUCCCUUCUAUUGCAUACCCAACCCACAUCCCAUGUUUCUUCAAGGCAUGAACUCUUCACGUGAUGGGAUGUUGAAGGUGUGGAUGAUGGGGCGCUAAAAUAAGG